UCUGAUGAGGACACCUUCUGCCUUUGUUAUCGAAUGACUGACUAAGGCUAGUCAUGGCUUAUGUAAAACAUGGACUCAUCCAAAGAUUCAGUCAAUAUAGUUACUGUGUACACAAAUCAAAGCAAGCUGUUGGCUCUGUUUGACAGCUACCCUUUGACAUUGUAUGCCUGCAAGGUUUAGUGGUGCACUGUAUAGACUUAACUUGCAUUCAAAGCUCGCGUGAAAUAUGAUUGUGUGGUACUGAAGAUUCACUGUGCAGCAAUGCUGGAAACACUGAUAAGUCAUCCAGCCAGAUAUGUGACUCAGGACUGGUCAUCCUUAGUACCCACAAUCCCCUUGCAAAAAAACCCUGUAAGUCUUGCUUAUGGGCAUUGGUGUCCCAGUAAGGAGCUCUCCAAGUAGCAUCAACAAAUCUCAGCUCUAAUGAGUCCUUUUGAAUGUCUAAAUGUGAGCCGAGGUCAGGCAUUAAAUAAGUGCUGCUCUUAAAAUAGAAAAUAGGAAAACAUGGUACACUUGUACCAAGCACUUCAAUUGUGAGAUACUACUGGGGGAAAAGUUUCUGAAGGUGAGGUGACAAAGAUAAGAUGAUAAACACUUGGCAUCUAUUUUCAGCACAUGGAGGUUUCACUGAGCCAAGACCUGAAUUAGAUGUCUAUUGAUUCUUUCAAAGGACUAUGCACUGAUACUAAUUUGAAUCCAGAACUAGACUUAAUCUGGAUCGGAGAGUUACUGCUCAUUGAGUUUGAGAGAUAUAUAGAUAGAUCACAUUUUUUUUAAAUUCAGCACUGGAUGUUCUAAAUUAGGAGUAGUUAGGUAUGAUCAGUUGAGUUUGGUAGGUGUAAUGAUGAUCCAAUGUCCUUUGACUUCCUCUCCUCCAUGGGCUCUGAUCAAUGACCAUCUCUCUCUGUGACAGCAAUCAAUGCUUUUGAUUAGUGUACUCCUGCCAGAGAACACAGCGGGACAGCACUGGCCUCUUGUUCUCUUUAUUUUGUGUGUGUGAAACUAAAGUACGCACUGAUUGAUGGUCAUGGACUCGCUUUCAUUCUCAGUAUGAGACUCUUUAGACUUGAAUGAAGAGUUUAUUGAUGUUUUUGUUUUAACGUCUAUUUACAGGAAGCUAUAUUACUCUAGUUCUGUAAUGCAU